rnacentral:rRNA from 1 species
UCACACAUUAGACUACCCGGGUAGUCCUGGACCGUAAACGAUGUGGACUUGGUGUUGGAAUGGCUUCGAGUUGUUCCAGUGCCGAAGGGAAGCUGUUAAGUCCACCGCCUGGGAAGUACGGUCGCAAGACUGAAACUUAAAGGAAUUGGCGGGGAGCACCACAACGCGUGGAGCCUGCGGUUUAAUUGGACUCAACGCCGGGAAGCUCACCGGAUAAGACAGCGGAAUGAUUGCCGGGCUGAAGACUCUGCAUGACUAGCUG